GACGAACGCUGGCGGCGUGCUUAACACAUGCAAGUCGAACGGAAAGGCCCUGCUUUUGUGGGGUGCUCGAGUGGCGAACGGGUGAGUAACACGUGAGUAACCUGCCCUUGACUUUGGGAUAACUUCAGGAAACUGGGGCUAAUACCGGAUAGGAGCUCCUGCUGCAUGGUGGGGGUUGGAAAGUUUCGGCGGUUGGGGAUGGACUCGCGGCUUAUCAGCUUGUUGGUGGGGUAGUGGCUUACAAAGGCUUUGACGGGUAGCCGGCCUGAGAGGGUGACCGGCUACAUUGGGACUGAGAUACGGCCCAGACUCCUACGGGAGGCAGCAGUGGGGAAUAUUGCACAAUGGGCGGAAGCCUGAUGCAGCAACGCCGCGUGCGGGAUGACGGCCUUCGGGUUGUAAACCGCUUUCGCCUGUGACGAAGCGUGAGUGACGGUAAUGGGUAAAGAAGCACCGGCUAACUACGUG
rnacentral:rRNA from 1 species